GAUCAUGGCUCAGGACGAACGCUGGCGGCGUGCCUAAUACAUGCAAGUAGAACGCUGAAGGAGGAGCUUGCUUCUCUGGAUGAGUUGCGAACGGGUGAGUAACGCGUAGGUAACCUGCCUGGUAGCGGGGGAUAACGUAUUGGAAACGAUAGCUAAUACCGCAUAAGAGUAGAUGUUGCAUGGACAUUUACUUAAAAGGUGCAAUUGCAUCACUACCAGAUGG
rnacentral:rRNA from 1 species